AGCAUAUCAAUAAGCGGAGGAAAAGAAACCAACAGGGAUUGCCCUAGUAACGGCGAGUGAAGCGGCAACAGCUCAAAUUUGAAAGCUAGCCUUCGGGUUCGCAUUGUAAUUUGUAGAGGAUGCUUUGGGUAAAACGCCAGUCUAAGUUCCUUGGAACAGGACGUCAUAGAGGGUGAGAAUCCCGUAUGUGACUGGAAAUGUUAACCUAUGUAAAGCUCCUUCGACGAGUCGAGUUGUUUGGGAAUGCAGCUCUAAAUGGGAGGUAAAUUUCUUCUAAAGCUAAAUAUUGGCGAGAGACCGAUAGCGCACAAGUAGAGUGAUCGAAAGAUGAAAAGCACUUUGGAAAGAGAGUUAAAAAGCACGUGAAAUUGUUGAAAGGGAAGCGCUUGCAAUCAGACUUGUUUAAACUGUUCGGCCGGUCUUCUGACCGGUUUACUCASUUUGGACAGGCCAGCAUCAGUUUCGGCGGCCGGAUAAAGGCAUUGGGAAUGUGGCCUUCACUUCGGUGGAGGUGUUAUAGCCCAGUGUGUAAUACGGCCAGCCGGGACUGAGGUCCGCGCUUCGGCUAGGAUGCUGGCGUAAUGGUUGUAAGCGACCCGUCUUGAAACACGGACCAAGGAGUCUAACAUCUAUGCGAGUGUUCGGGUGUCAAACCCCUGCGCGUAAUGAAAGUGAACGGAGGUGGGAACCGCAAGGUGCACCAUCGACCGAUCCUGAUGUCUUCGGAUGGAUUUGAGUAAGAGCAUAGCUGUUGGGACCCGAAAGAUGGUGAACUAUGCCUGAAUAGGGUGAAGCCAGAGGAAACUCUGGUGGAGGCUCGCAGCGGUUCUGACGUGCAAAUCGAUCGUCAAAUUUGGGUAUAGGGGCGAAAGACUAAUCGAACUAUCUAGUAGCUGGU
rnacentral:rRNA from 1 species